GACGUAGGGCGCAAGCGUUGUCCGGAAUUAUUGGGCGUAAAGAGCUCGUAGGCGGCUUGUUGCGUCGACUGUGAAAACCCGUGGCUCAACCAUGUGGUCUGCAGUCGAUACGGGCAGGCUAGAAUUCGGUAGGGGAGACUGGAAUUCCUGGUGUAGCGGUGAAAUGCGCAGAUAUCAGGAGGAACACCGGUGGCGAAGGCGGGACUCUGGGCCGAUACUGACGCUGAGGAGCGAAAGCAUGGGGAGCGAACAGG
rnacentral:rRNA from 1 species